AAAAAAAAGAAAUUGUUUUGUUGCAGGCGAGGCACUGAGAAUCGUAGAAAUUCAAUGGCGACGGACAAUAUUUGUGGCAGUCGCCAGAUAUGAAUGCAGGAUUCUGUUUGAGAGCAGGCUCUGGUUCUAAUGCCUGCUGGAAACCUGUAUAGAACUGCCUGCGUAAUCCAUUCUGCAGCAGGAAAACAUCCUGGCUAUUCUCUGGCUCUGUUCAGUCCUUUUUCAGCAGAAUGAGUAACCUAUUGUGUUUAAGGCAAUGCAUAGAAACAAGAUUAGUUAACGAGCUCUCUGUUCAAAUAUGUUAUUAUUUAUAAGUUAU